CUGGAAGGUACUUACAGCGAGAGCGGGGUUGGUCUCUACUCGCUGGUGACAGGUGACAGGACGAGGGGAAAUAGCCUUAAGUUGCGCCAGGGUACGUUUAGGUUGGGUAUCAGGAAAAACUUCUUUACUGAAAGGGUUACUAAGCACUGGAGUAGGCUCCCUGCGGAGGUGGUUGAGUGACCAUCCCUGGAUAUGAUAGAUAAGGCCUUUCCGUAUCUAUUUCCACUCUCCUCCAGAACACAAAGAGGCCCUUGCAUCGCUAAUGGUUCUAUGGAUUGUUGAAAUCUCGUGCACUGGAUCAUAUUCUUAGUGAGUGAGUACUGAAUUAUUUCCUCAAUCCCACAAAAUUAAAGAGUGAAAAAUGCAAUGGAUGGAUCAAUUCUCCGUCGAGAAACCUGUCCUCUAAUCCUGCAGUUCCCAGAUGCAUAAAUUCACCUUGUGAUCACUAGUCUGCAGAAAGUGAAUAAAAUGUUUCUGUCUUUCUGUGAUAUGGGCAUAGCUACCUUCCAUCUCCAAAAGCAGGUAGUGAAAGUUGGCAUUCCUCACUAAAUCCUCUGCAUUACAAAACUGUGCUGACACAGAGAUUUUAUAAUGCAUGUAUUAUUUUGUUAUGUCUUCUUAAUUGUUGUUCUGCAAAUAAAAAUGAUGUUUUUACAAGGUUGUAGAUGUACAUGGCUGGCUAUAUUAACAUAAAUGCAUGAGUACAUGAAAAAAAAAAAAAUUCUUAUCCAAUAGCAGAAGUCUCUAAUGGGUUUCCAGCAAUAAUAAAUAAAAGACAUCAAAAACAUUAACCCUUAAAACUCAUAAUCCAAGAAAACAUUUAUUACAUAGCUUUUUUGAUUACUAGGAUUAACUUAAACUGUAAAAAUGCUACAAAAGAAUGUUCUGACAAUUUCCCCAUGAUAUUUACUUCUACACUCAAAACUGUGCUUUUUUUACCUCUGUAAUAAGACAUCUUUAAAUGAUACAGCUUCACUCUAUGCCCUCUCUAGUGUUUUAUGUCUAUUCUGGAAACCAUUGAAAUAGGAGGGAAGGAUGACUGGUAUAAAAAGACUGUGCUUAUGUCUAUUUUUUAUAGCAAUGUGACAUUUCAAAGUGGAUGCCUUUUAAAAAAUAAGGGAUAAUGAUCCUGAAAUUGUUUCCAGAAACCAUUCAGUAAAUACAUUCAGUAACUAGAAUGCUUAUAGCUCAUUUCACUUCUAAAUUCUCCGAAUUCUCAGAUCACCUUCCUAGCAGAAAUUAUGGAAGAAGAAAGCCGGUUUAUUUUUUUUAGUUUCAUUUCUCUGUUUUGUUUUGUCUUUUUUUUUUUUUUUUAACUUGGUCACUGUCCAAGCAAGCAUCUUUAUAAACCCUACAAUUUUUACAAGUGUAAAAACACUGUUAGGGAGUUUGCCCAGUUUUUAGGCAUUUACUUUGCAAGGGUUCAUUUUAUUUAAUCGGUUGGAUGUUUGUUUUUAACAGUAAAUUGGAAUUCCACUAAGAGAAAACAAGGGUCUAAUGACAUUAUGUGUGUUCAAAAAUCAAAGAAUCGUAUUAGAUUAUUUCCAAUAAUGUCCCAAAUACAUAGUCCCCUGCACAAAAUCAAAAUCUGCCAUUACUUCAUUACAACUACAUCAUGUUUAUUCCCAAAUGACUCUCAAGAAGAAAUGCCUAUAUAUUAUUAUCUGGGAGAGCAGGCAUGUCUAUACUUCAGGUUGUCCAGAAUUUCCAAUUCUGGGACCCAGUUUUUCAAAUGUUUCAAACCUUCAUAAAAUUAAAUGAUUUGAUCUGAAUUUUCACAGAGGUGAUGGCCUCAGCUUGAC
rnacentral:lncRNA from 1 species